rnacentral:rRNA from 1 species
UAGGGAAUAUUGGACAAUGGGCGCAAGCCUGAUCCAGCCAUCCCGCGUGAAGGAUUAAGGUCCUAUGGAUUGUAAACUUCUUUUCUCUGGGAAUAAAAACCGGUAUUUAUACUGGCUUGAAGGUACCAGAGGAAUAAGCACCGGCUAACUCCGUGCCAGCAGCCGCGGUAAUACGGAGGGUGCAAGCGUUAUCCGGAUUCACUGGGUUUAAAGGGUGCGUAGGUGGCUUUGUAAGUCAGUGGUGAAAGCCCGGAGCUUAACUCCGGAACUGCCAUUGAUACUGCUUAGCUUGAAUCAACUUGAGGUGGAUGGAAUAUUACAUGUAGCGGUGAAAUGCUUAGAUAUGCUACGGAACACCGAUUGCGAAGGCAGCUUACUAUUUCGUAAUUGACGCUGAGGCACGAAAGCGUGGGUAGCGAACA